CAGCUCUGUCGGGAAUUCUGCAGGUUGGCCCACACGGUCGCAGUGUUUAUUGCCCUGUGCAAUGAUCCAGUGCAACAUGUUUGCAAUUCUGCCGCACAAGGAGUCAGUUACCUCUAUGAGGUCCUGCUACAUCGGAAAGGGCUGGAGAAGGCCAAGCAAAAAAGGCUGAAGUGGUCUUUGAAGAGUGGCUGCGGGCUGCAGGAAGACGACGACCUCACAGUGUUGGCACUGGCCAAGAGCUGCCAUGUGGCAACGAAUCCUGCCGACCAGGUCUUCUCCUGCCAACUGACCAGCCUUCUGCUCUUUGCCCUGCAUAAUCUAAGAGGGUCCAGCGUAGAUAUGCUUAAGGCAUCUGAAGAGGUUCUCAGUGCUGUUCUGCAGAACCACACAAAGAAGAUUCUAAGGGUGAAAGAAAUUGUUGAGGCAAUCUAUACAUGUCUGCAGGUAUGCCAGUCCUCCUACUGGACCCGCAAAGUUGUGCUCAAGGCAUUCGCCUUGGUAAUCCCUGAUCACCUGGAAGAAGUGGCCCAGAGCUGCCUGUCCUUCUCCAUGUCCAUGAACAG
rnacentral:lncRNA from 1 species